UCACUUAAUUUCCUCCUGCAGGCCUACCACAAACAACAAAGUGCUGCUGUUGAAUUCAAUGCAAGAGGGCUGACUUGAAAUGCUGUGCAACUGUCGUCAACAGCUUUUUCGACUCUUUGUGGCAACCCAACUUGGUUUAGUUGGGAAUCAGGGAUGAAAUUAGCAGCUCUAUUUCGAUGGCCAUUUUGGCAUCGACUCGAGCCUUCAUUCUUCUCGGGACUCCCUGAACAAAUUGACAUCGCAAAUCAGCAUCGCAAAUUGCCAAGUCGGCCGCCGGAGAAAAUCAUAUCGCCACAAAUCUGGAUUAUUUUCUCGGAAACCUUUGACGAUCAUGAAGUUCGCGGACACAACUGAGCUCAACAUUUACCGCGCGUCCAAGGGCGGAAAAAAUACCACAGCAAGUCCCGGCCUUUACUAGUUCAGUCCAGCGGCCAUUCUGGACAGCUCCAGCAUCACCCAGUGGUACAGCGGAGUCAACAGCCAGCACUAUUUCGGCUUCCGCGUUCAAAUGUGGAACGAGACGAUCUAGCAAGCUGUUGCCACCCAUCUGACGCGGGUAGGUUAAGAAGGUCUGAACUUAUACCAGGUCCAGUCGAUCCCGUUCGACCGUGUCAUCAUCAUGGUGUCAUUCUGACCAGAUCAAGCGACGGAGAAGAGGACGAACGUUACCACAUUAUACAUACAUUUGAGUACUGAACCAUGCACAGCCAUCGUGACAACAAGAUAUUCCAGUUUUGCUUCUGCUGGAUCUGUCAUCUCAGCAACAACCUCAGCAUCAUCAUUUGGAUAAACAGCAUCCCUGUUGAUUGGAGAUUCUACCCGAUGGCCGAGCUACGUAUCUCUUCCUUCGUCUCCCUUUCUUAAAAUGUCCUCAUGUACACUUCAUGUGAAUGUGGGUGUAUUCACGAGGACCCCCUUUUCUCCCUAUCCCGCCUGGUGGACUCAACUUUUCAGCGGAUGGAUGGAUCACUUGUGGAAGGAUACCUGGCUGAAUUUAACAAGUUCAAAAGUAGGAAAAACAUUUAUCUCUAUUCUUCCUAUUUGAGUAUUGAGUGGGCGUUGAUUGUAAAUUGUUACCGAGUACUAUUACUCCUGAGCUAUAGACAGUUAUUGACUGGAACUGAUUUCUCUUGUCGUUUUUGUUGACUCGGUCAGGGCUCAUUAAAUAGCUCAUAGUACGACAACAGAUCAGGCUUGUUUUGUCCAAAAUAUUUCAAACUUGAAUUCAAUCAAAAUGCAACUAGGAGAUUUUAUUGAGCGAGAGGGGGACCUUCCGCCACACUGCGUGCACCUCCUUGUAUAUAGAUGCUGGUCGGUCAUUGUCGGUUUACCGGUUUUGAUUGCAGUCACCUUUUUUUUCGGUUCUUCUUUCCGGGAAAGGAGAAGAGAACAAAUGAACAAUGUACUGCGCACACGUUGAUUGUUUGCGCUGCAAUCGAUCGGUCGUUAGUGUUUUCCUUUGAACAGGAAAGAGAUGAGACACAAAUAUCUACAGCACAAUGGGACUUUUGGUGCCAUUGUGGUACGGUACGGAUCAUCCACACUAAACUUUUUCUUUCUUUUUCUUUCGGGAAAGAAUAAAAGGGUACCGUGAAUUUUUGAUUCUUUUUUUUUUC
rnacentral:lncRNA from 1 species